GAAAUGCGAUAACUAGUGUGAAUUGCAGAAUUCCGUGAAUCAUCGAGUCUUUGAACGCACAUUGCGCCCCCUGGUAUUCCGGGGGGCAUGCCUGUCCGAGCGUCAUUGCUGCCCAUCAAGCACGGCUUGUGUGUUGGGUCGUCGUCCCCUCUCCGGGGGGGACGGGCCCCAAAGGCAGCGGCGGCACCGCGCCCGAUCCUCGAGCGUAUGGGGCUUUGUCACCCGCUCUGUAGGCCCGGCCGGCGCUUGCCGAACGCAAAUCAAUCUUUUUCCAGGUUGACCUCGGAUCAGGUAGGGAUACCCGCUGAACUUAAGC
rnacentral:misc_RNA from 1 species